CUUCCUUAACUCAAAUUUCAUUGAGCCUGGUUUAUUUCCUACUAAAAAGAUGAAAUUCAAUAUUCUUUUCACCCUCCGUUAGGCGCAUAAUAUGGAUUUCUCAAUCUUCUUUGAGCCCUCCGUUAGGCGCAAAGUUCGGUUAAUUACGGAAAGUCCUCCGGACUACUUCUGUUAAUUACGGAUGGUCCUACUUCCAUAUGGAUAGUCCUACGGAUAAAUCCUCCGGACCCUGGACCUUUCUUUGGCCCUGCGGACUCCGGACUCCGGACUGGAAGAUUUCCGCUUUCUUUUUCAAUAGGAGAGGAUCGGGCCCGCUAACCCUAUCAUCGGGGAAGGAGGAAUCGGGUAGCUGAUCGAUCGGAAGAAGUCUUUCUCUUGCAGCUUGACCAAAGGAUCUCUUAUCCAGUAUCCAGAGAUGUGUUGCCGAAGCAAGCGAGAACAAAGUAAGGAAGAGGAAGGAAUAAGGCUGGCUAGCUAGGUCCUAAUCUGAUUAAAGGCUAAGUUGAAUCAAUACCAGAAGUAGACUUAGCAGAAGUUUAUGUGGAAGUGGUUUGUGGAAGCUCUUUCUCUUUGGUAACUGAGAUACCUUCUUUCGUCUUUUAGUGGAAUGAAACUCAUCUGGAGCUUUGAUUUUAGGAGUAUUAAGACCGCUCCGAAGGACUACUAUUUUAGUGGAAUAAGACUCGUCGAUCAUUCUUUCGAUAAUUCUUUGAUUGGGAAUAUUAGUUAAGACUCGUCCGGAGCGCUCCAUAUUAAGCUACGGAGGCCCCAUAAGACAGGGAUAUUCUUUUCUUUGGAUAGUCCUUCGGACUGAUUAAUGGUCUCAUUGAUAAGGACAUAUAGAAUGAAGCGAAGGACUUCUUUAUCCAUUGAAUUUAGCCGACCUCAAUGAGUGAAAAGAAUUAUCUCAGCUCUUUAUUUCUAAAAAGUGGGCAGUCGCUUCGCUUCGCGCCUUGACUCCGGGGGUAGGUUUAGUAUAGUAGGUUUGGAAGGAAAGCCUAUGGUCGAAACCCCAACUCGUCUUAGUCUCGAAUUGACUCUGCCGGAUUAAGUUGCUGGAUUUCUUCUUUCAGUAUCGCCUUAAAUGAUUUAUGGGAUUAAGAUAAGAGGACAUGAUGUCCCCUCGAAAAGAAGGUUGAAUAGUGGCUCGACUGAGUUGUAGAAGGAGAGAGAUCGGGAUAAAAGGUUCAAAGAUUCCUUCUUGCACUCCUUAAGAGUGACGGCUUUUUUCUUUUCCUCUCUAUCUACUUUCAUCCUAUAUAUUAGCCGACUGAUUUAUGGAACUAAAUCUUUCUGGGAGUCCCAUAAAUAAAUAAAUAGGGAUAUAAAGAAGUCCUUCGGUCCUCAAUGAUUCUGGAGGGAUAGGCUUUCUUCCUUCCCCUAUUAGCCCUUUUUAGGUUCCUUAGGCUUUCCUACUUUCUUCAGUGGAUAGUCGGACUCCUCCGCUCCGCCAUAAGAAAAGCCCACUACGCUACGUAGUCUUAUCUUCUUCUUCUUCUUAUUCUACUAAAAUAUCCUAUUAUUAUACAAGAAUCAAACUCCUCCUUCUCCUCAACGAAAGUAUGAAAGGACUCAAAUUCUGAUCGCCAUUCUCUUCUUUGCUCUUCUCGCAAUAUUCUUUGCGCCUGAGAAAGACAGGUUCAAGUGCUCAUUAACGAGAAUGAAAGAAGCUAAAAAUUCAUCUGCUAGAUUUCAGACGGAGUUCAAUCCCAGAAUAUCUAAGAAAAGAAGAAAGGAGUGCAAACGAAAACUAAUGGAUUUCAUAGUCCUUCGGACGGACUACCGCACCUCAAUUCAUGAAAUAUUCUUUGUCAAUAUUCUUUUCACCUCCGGAGCCUCUCUUUUCUUUCUGUCUUCCCCGUCCUCCGGACUAUUCAACCUAUUCCCCGUGAGACUCAGAUUACUAAUUCUCUGUUUGAGACUGGAUCGCAUAUGGUCUGACUCAUUUUAUCGCAAGAUCGAAGACAAUAUCCAUUCUGCCCGCUCCCUUCUGAUUGAUCUCUUGACUGCUGAAAAUCUUCCUUUUCCCCGCUCCGUGGGCUACGCUAUGGGAAGAGUUAGUCCGAGACUUUCCAGUUGAGAUAUUCAAACCUAUCCUUGACUCGUACAGCUUCAUGAAAAUACAAUAUCUAGUACACAAUCACCUUUAUAUUGGCGUCGGCCUAGGCCAGUGAAAAGCCUAUGGUACGAGAGAAAAUGCUUUAGGAAGGGGGGGGGCCCGUGGAUCGGAGCGAAGCAGCUCACUAUAAGAGUUGGGCGCUACAGAGGUUAUGAAAUAACUCGACUGAAAGGAGAGGGGCGAAGAGACUCGACCGUAGGGAGAGGGGCUCCGGUAUCGGUGAAUAUGCUCUCCCGUGCAGGUUAGUUCCCGAGAGUCCGCCUAUAAAUGAACUUUGCUCCGUUUUAGAGUCCUUCGGUUAAUUACGGAUGGUCCUACUUCGGUUAAUUACGGAUGGUCCUACGGAUAAAUCCUCCGGACUACUUCCCUCCAUAUGGAUGGUCCUACGGAUAAAUCCUCCGGACUACGGAUAAAUCCUGCGGACUCCGGACUCCGGACUACUUCGGUUAAUUACGGAUGGUCCUACGGAUAAAUCACCUGGACCUUUCUUUGGCCCUGCGGACUCCGGACUCCGGACUACGGAUAAAUCCUGCGGACGUAGGACUCCGGACGGGUCAAAGAAUUUGAGAAGCUGCGACGGAAAGGAAAUAGUGGAUGGACGAGUCCUCCGGACCGGACGACUAUGAAGAAUAUUUGAAAAAGAAAGAAGAUUUGAGGUGCAAAGAAUAUUGCGGAAAGGAAUCUUCGACAAAUCUCAUUACUACUACUAAUAGAAGAAAAGCCUAAAAUAAGCACAUUUGCAUCCGUCCUCAGUCGCAAAGUUCAUUUCUAGAAGGCUCAAAGGAUAUUGAGCGAAAGGCGCCAUAAGACAGGGAUAUUCUUGGACUCAUUUCAUGGGGAAUUUGGGCAAGACGCCUCUAUCUGAGAGUCGAGCUACUUCAAUCCGUACGUGAUCCUACUUCUUUCAUCAAAUGAAUAGCCCGUAACCAGAAGACCAAGAGCUAUGGAUAAUGCGAGCGAGACGUAAAGAGAUCAUGACUCGAUUCCCAUCUUCUUGCUUUAAUGGGACUAGGGCUCAUUCCACUUAUUAUCUUACCUCCUUCUCAAAUCAAAUUCUUUGAGCAAAAUCAAGCUCCCCUAAUGGAUAGUCCUUCUUCGCAAAUUCUUUGCGCCUGUCUCGCAAUAUUCUUUGCUGCACCUUGCUGACUCAUGAAACUCAUAAUCCUAUCUACAGAGCAUAUGAGAUGAUAAGAAGAUCGGAAACUUCUCUUUCUUCUUCGGCAACGGAUAAUUCAACCUCCACUAACCGCUGAAUACCUCUGUAGCAUCCGAUCCGCGAGACCUCUUCUCCUGCCUGCCGGAUAGCUGCUUCUAACCGCGUAGUGGGCAGGGAAUGCCCACUCCUCCUCUUGUUGGAACCUUUAUUCCGACUAAUAAUUGUAUCUGAGUUCCGAUUCUUCUCUCUCUUUCUUCAAGUUCGGGAUCCGGAACGAUUGAUCGUACUUAUUCAACAGGUAAUUCCCUUUUUCUCCUGAUAAAGAAAGACCCCAUCAUUCCCUUUCCGGCUAGUCCUACUCACAGAAAGACUAUCAAAAACCUCCCUCCUCCGCCGAAAGAUGAGUCUGAUACCCGCAGCUUUCUUUCAUAUUCCUUCUAUGAAGUUGGUCGUAUUCGCCCCUGAUACAGAGAAUACCUGCCUCCAUAAUUACGUAACUAGUCCUAUCACUGAAAGAUCUCAUUUGACUGAUUCCCCGCUCCGUGGUAUCCGCUUGCCCUCGUAAACUCUGGACUGAUGAUCAUUCCUAUCCUACAGAGCUGAACUUUUGGAGUACGAAAGGAAUCCCUCCCAGGUUUCUGCUCGCCAGAAGACGAGAAAGACGAGACCAUGAGGCGAGAUGGUAACUACCUUUUAAGGAGUUCAGGCAGUUGAGAUCAGAAGCUGCUCGAUUCCCUUCCCCUCUCAAGAGUCCGUCCUCACUUUCCCUGCUUUGUUUGAAGGCGAAGUUCUCACCGCCUCAAUGAACAAGGGGUUUUCUAAUAGUCUUGUAAAUCAGAAAAAUCCUAUUAGUAGUUUAGUUGGAGGCAGCUAUCUCUCCCAAGCCUUGUGUAAUUCAAGCCGAAUAUACCGCCCCGUAAUACCGCGUUCAAGCUAAUAGUUUGCGUAGAAUUCUCGAUUAAUAUUCUAUUAGGAGAACUCUCUUCUCAUCUCUUGAGAAAAGAAUAUGACGAGACCUAGCCCUAGCCAUGAACUAUUUCUAUAGACCUAGUGAGAAAAGGAAUGAAAUGACUCGACUAAAGAAAGAGGAAGGAAUGCUCUUGCCUCUGAAUUCCGAAACCUUUCUGCUCUUGAAGUAGAGUUGAGGAUGCUGAUCGAUAGGGAAUGCGCUCGAUCCUCACCCCUCUCCUCUCGCCUGGUUCUCAAUUUCUUACGUAAAUACUUCCGCUGGACACAUUUCCAUAAGAGGUUGAAGAUUCCAUCUCUCACGAUCAGCCCACUACGCGGUAAGAGACUGAGAUACCUUCUUUCUAAAUCGGAAGUUUGAAGCGGGUCUCUCGGGGAGUCGUCGUUGAAAGGGAUGCUGCCUGCGGAAGUUGAAUCCAUUUCAGUUCCUCUACCUUCUUCGGAAGUUCUUGCUGAAGAAGUAUUUAGAUCGCCGCUCUGAGUUAUUAAUGAAAUUAAUUACUAGAAUACGACCCGGAAAGGUAGCGAUCGGAUUGACUCGGUGCGGGUAAGGUCUUGAGUCUUGAAGUGAGAGGAAAAGAGGAAAAGCUUACCGCGUAGUGGGUUGGACGCGCCUCAAGCUCAAACUAAGAAGAAAGAGUCUUUUUAGUCGGGAAUGAGAUGAGAAGGAAGUUAUCUUUGUAUGAGAUCGAUCAUAGGAUCGACCGGGAACAGGAAGACUACGAGGUCUCAGUUUGUUUUCUUAGUCUCAUAGGAAUUCUAUAAAGUAGAUAUUCCGGUAAGACCGCCAUAAAAGAUAGGGGGGAUUUAAUGAGUUGAAAGACGACCAGUGGGAGUCAUCAGACUUCCAACAAUCAGACUCAGAGGUGAGGCGCUCGACCUCUUUCAUUCUCGUAUUAUCUUAUCAUCUAUUAGUAAUAAGAAUCCCCUGCGAGCAUGCCUUCCUUUCGUACCGAUCGUCAUAGACAAAAGAUGGAUUGGGUCCUUAAAUAAAUACGAAGAAAGCAUGAAGUAAGCAAUUUCUUUUCUAGAGUUCUCAUUAUGUGAUAGAAUGAAAUGAGUGAGAUUUCUUUCCGGAAGUACGAAGAAAGCAUGAAUUAAGCAAUGAUAUAGGCCAGCUUAUCGUGCUUAUCUUCCUUCUAAGAGGAGCAUGAAAGUAAUAGCAAAGCUCAAAUACUUUGAUCCUCGAACCUCUUCUAUCUUCUACCGUAAUUCGCCAAUCUCGAUGAAAGAGCAGGUAACUACCCCCCCCUCUUUCUUUACGAUUUACGGGUACUUACUCGUGCACGGAAUCAAAGAAGAGGCAGGCGAAGCAUUUUUGAAAUGAGAUCAGCAAGGUGCAAAGAAUAUUGCGAGACCACUAAAUAGAAGACUUAGCCUCAUUCUUCGGCCUUUAUUUGCGUAAAGAUAGUAUUAAGCAUCGAUUGACAAAGAAAGUACUCCAGUACCCAUUGAAAGUUCAGAAGUCCAGCUCUUUGUCAAUACGAACCAACCCUAGCUUGCUUGCCUUCAACUAGAAACUAUUCUGAUUUAGCUUCCACCUUGAAAGACGGAAAAAAAAGAUAGCUAAAGCAAUUCCAUUCUCAGUCAAGUCUAAUCGUACGAAUCCAUAUUCACCUUUUCUUUGCCGCCUUGAUUUUGCAAUAUUCUUUCUCAAUCUUCUUUGAGCCUUAUAAUUGAACCAGAUCCCCAUUAUUAAGCUACGAAGGCCCCAUAAGACAGGGAUAUUGAUUUCAUGAGUUCAAUAUUCUUUGAACCUUAUUCUUAGGCGAAGGACUGAUUUAUCAAGCUUAACUGAACCUUGUUCUGCGCUCUUUAUUUCUUUUCAAAAAGUGGGCAGUCGCUUCGCGCCGCGUAGUGGGGAACUUCCGCGUAGUGCUUUCUGGAUCGAAAGGUUAUCAGCCGAAAGAGCGAAUUCGCACACUGCUGAAAGGCAUAUUUCAUUGCACCUCAAUUCAACUCAUCUGGAGCUUUGAUUUUAGUCUUUCCUUUUGAGUUUGGGAAUCUACUUUGUCCCGCGUAGUGCUUUCUUUAUUGUCGGGAUGAGGAAGUAGGAAGUGGUAUUUCUACGAAUGAAAUGUGUCUCGCAAAUGCAAACAAGGAUUUCCCAUCAUAAGAAAGUUCACGGAAAGCCCUUGCCCUUAUGACUUCAUAGGCUUCGCUUCGCGCCUUUAUCUUUUUCUUCCUUAUUUUUUUGAGGUCUGCUCUCGCUGUGGUUGAAACCCUUGUUUCAGUAGAUUGAGUUCUUGUCUCCUCCCCGGUGGCUGUUGAAACCAGCUAUUAGAAAGAAGAUAGUUCAUUAUAUCAUAAUAUAUUCCCGUGUAGUGGGAUCCGCGCCUCGGGGAAGUGACCAUACACUUGACCAUAAAGAAGGGCAUUAGAAAGAAAGCUAGAAAAGGAGGAAACUUCAGCAUUACUAGUAAGCCCACGUAGCGGAGUAGUCGAGUCUAAAAAGGGUAGAUUCAUUCAAGGCAUAUUUCAUUGCGCCUCGUCCUUCCGCGCUCCGCUCCUUUUUAGUGGACGCUACUUGAUUAUGGGGGGAUGAGACCCAACUAUAAGACUUCGUCAUAUUGAAUUUCACCUUGCCUCCAGUUCCUUGCCUCCGGGAGUAGGUGAUGAGGUUUCGGACUUCUCCUUUUGACUCCUUUUGAGCUCUUUCUUUAUUCCUUUGAUUUUAGUAGGUUCAAUUCAAUAUUCAUGAAUUCAGGCCUAUCCAUUAGAGAAUUUGACUUGUUUCAAAAACAAAGGCUCCAGAUGAGAGGUGCCAUAAGACAGGGAUAUUCUUGAGUCACUAAAGAGUAUUUUCUUGUAACAAAGGCUCAAAGAAUUUGAGGAUGGAUAGGAAAUCCUGAAAUCAGCCUAUCGUCAGGCCUUGGUGGGAAUAGCUGCAGCUAUUUCUUAAACAAGAACAGCCACUGACGAUUCAACUUCUGCAACUGCUACUGCCACAAGAACGGAUGCCUCUUCUUACAGUCGAUUCGACUAAUCCUCUCUUCGUGCCUAAUCCGAUACCUCCCUCUCCCGGGCAGCUGCUUCUCUCAAUUACUGUGACUGUCGAAAGACCGACUACGUCGAGCUCCCUCUUGCUAUGGGGAGAGCGCCUAUUCCAGUCCAGGAGAUCAUAGAGAGAAUAACCUCUUGGUCCAGCUACUAAUGAGUGCAGUGAACUACUCAUGAAAGAGAGAAGAUGGUGCUAUUCCCGCUACGUGGGGGUCGAGCGAGCUCAUACUCACUUCAUAGGCUUCGCUUUUGCCCUCGUUCCUCAACUGGGGGGAGGGGACCUCAUUCUUAGUCUUUUCCCUUGAACCCGACGAAAGAGGCUUUCUCCUAAGAAAUAAUCAGGGAUGGUGCAUCCUCAACUAAUGCCAAUGGGUCGAGGUCGAGCAUUCGCACCUCACCGAAAGGGCUACAGCUUCUACUCCAACAGCAACGUCUGCAACCGGAACAGCCACUCCAAUCAUUGAUAAGGAUCUUUGAACCUCUCGCAACUUCAGAAAGAGGAGCAAGAAAAGCAAGAGCUUACUCAUCAUCAUCAAAUUUCAUUGAUCCUCCGUCCCCCUUUCUUCUUUCAAAGAUUCCGAUUCAGUGAAUCAAAAGUACUUCUAUUCCGUUUGGGACCACUAUUCUCGCUACCGAAAGAACCCCGUAGACCUAUGAGUUCUAGCAGGAAGGAGGCGCGUCCGUCCCGAGUCCUAAGACUUUUGUCGAGCCGUUCCACUCAUCGGGUAAAUCAGGUCUCUGGCUGAAUAAUAUAGUUGUUGUUCGCGCUUCUUCUCGUAAAGAUGAAAGUGUACUCACCGAGUCAACUCCAACAAAGCCCGACCCUUUUUCAAAGAGUGACUUCGUUAUGACGGACAAAGAUACUCAACUAGGUAUGGACGAUCCGACCCAGCCGGAGGCUGAUUAUCUGACUUUAUCGUCUUCAGAUAUAAGAAGCUAAAUAGAGGUUUAUCAAGUCAAUAUUCUUUGAACCUUCGCAAUAUUCUUUGCGCCUUCGCUCAAUUCACAUCCAUAAAUAAAUAGGGGUUAGGAGCUUUCUGAUCCUUACUCUUUCUUUGCUUUCUCCUAGGCUUUCUUCUUUCUGGGAGUCUUCCUAUAUCUUUUUCUGAUAUAAGGAAUCAAACUCCGCUCUGCUUCUUUGCUUCCAAACCUCAAAAUCAGACGAAAGCACUUAAAGAUUGUACAGUUUAGCUUUGACUCUCAGACUCUUAUUCAUAGCCAUCCAGGAAAGAAAAGCAUGACUAGGGAUGUGCUUCUUACCCCAAAGAAGCUUGAACCAAGGGACAGUAUUACCAGGAAGAUGAAAGAGCUUCACUGUCUUAGCAACUGAAAACUGACCUCUGAGGCCAGAUAGUUCUAUCUUCAGUAACCUUGUCCAAAGUCACAUUACUAACAAUGUCUCUCCAAGCAUUAGACAGCAUCAAUGGCUACAAGAAGCCGAAAUGAUCAUCCUUCCAUACAGCAUUCAGCCUGCAUUUCUUGUUAACAUCAGCAUCUCUGCCGAAUACUGAGACAGAGGGUCAAAGAAUUUGAGAACUCGGAAGACUAAAGCUCAAGCGCGCACUAAGAAGAAAAAGGGUGAGGGCCGACGUUCUAAUGGAUAGGACUGAGGCGCAUCAAAAAAAGGGUUGAAGAUGACCUUGAUUUUUUGGACCCUUAUUUAUUGUUUAUUGAGGCGGUUCAAAUAUCGAGACCAGAGGAAGCAAAGAAGCUGCGAGAGGUUUCGGAAUCUCCGGCUCUUGUCCCAGUGACGUCUGAGGCAGUUGAGUAUUUAGCCGAUAUAGUUCUUUCUUCUCAAAUUCGCCUCUCCUUUCAGUCGAGCCUCAAUGCAAUAUUCUUUGCGCCUUUGAAUCUGCGAUAACAUUGAGAUUUCCCAUCACCGACUGGAAGUCGCUAUUUUCUUUCGUCUUGCUCUUCGAUAAUUCUUUGAGCCUCCUUCUACCUCUUUUACACGGAGCGGGUUGGGAAGGCCUCAAGCAUACCAUCGAAUGCCACCAGUCAACCGAAGGCUGCAAUAGGUCCGAUCGCGCCGGUGCCGAUUCAAUUAUUCACCUGGAGACAAGGCUAAGAACAUCCCGCCGAAUGUGAACAAUUCGAAGAAUGUUUAUGUGAAUGCCCUCAGGACGCAUCCUAUGGUAUGCUUUCUGGCCGCUUUACCUCGUAUUGCUAGCGGUCGUGGGUGGCCCUGCGUCGCUCGUCACGUCCGCUUGUAGUGGUCACACAGGCAGUGCCUUUUUCUAUCCUAAAAGAAGGGUAAACCGAGAAACCCGUAGGCUUUCUGUCUUUUCUUUUUGCCUAUUUUAAGUCAUCGACCGCCUUGAUUUAUGUUUUCUCGCUCGCUUUCUCUGCCCUUCGCUUCCUGAUACCGGAAGGGGUAAAGCGGAAGUUCACUCCUAAGACUUGUAAUCAUCUUGCGUGACGGAGAGCCUUCGUCCUUGUCUUGAAUAUCCAUCCUGGACCGGAUAUCCCCGUGCGUCUCAGCAUUAAGCCUAUGCCUUAAAAGAUCCGGCGGACCCCAUCCUAGGGCAAGGUGAAGCCAGUAUGCUUUUUCCAGCUUUUUGCCCCUUUCGUACUGAGACUGAGGCUUCCGUGAUCCUUUCCUCUCUCCGCACCGAGAUAUAUAUCCAAUCGGGCAAUUCUUCCUUGAGCGAAGGAGUCAGACCUCCUUCGGCCUUAGCCUUUUUUCGGCAUUUUGGCCGAAGUGCAAAGUUAGCGAGCGAGCUUCCCCCACUACGCGGGCAGUCGGAUGUGAACUGCUUGUUCAACGAGAAUACCAGAGUUAGAAGAAUUAACCUUCCCACGCAGCGGUGACGAUGCUGUAGGUUCUUAGUGUACUUAGAUUGCAUGGAUUUUUCUUCUUUCUAUAUUUUAGAUAUACUGCUUGGCUAGCUCAGAACGCUAACGCUAAUUUGGAGAAGAUUUUGCAGGUUUGUGAAACCUUUAAGUAAAAGUAAUUAUCCGACUUCAAGCCUCCGGCAACUCUUAGCUAACCCGAAGAGAAAAGGUAAUUCCCGCUCUCGCAAUAUUCUUUGCGCCUUUAUUUAUCCUUUCUUCUUUUCUUAGAUAAAUGCGCUUCGCUUCGCAAUAUUCUUUGCGCCUUUAUUUAUCCUUUCUUUAUCCGUCCGGAGUGCCAAAGAAAGGUCCAGGGUCCGGAGUCCGCAGGAUUCUUAUCCGGAGGACUAUCCAUAUGGAAGUAGUCCGGAGGAUUUAUCCGUAGGACCAUCCGUAAUUAACCGAAGCAGUCCGGAGUCCGGAGUCCGCAGUGCCAAAGAAAGGUCCAGGGUCCGGAGGAUUUAUCCGUAGGACUAUCCAUUAGAAGCAGGAUUUAUCCGGAGUCCGGAGGAUUUAUCCGUAGGACCAUCCGUAAUUAACCGAAGUAGUCCGGAGGAUUUAUCCGUAGGACCAUCCAUAUGGAGGGAAGGAGGACUAUCCAUAUUCAGGAGCGGAAUCAAGAAUAGACCCGUCAGUAUCCGGACCAUAAACUCAAACUAGAACUGAUCCAUGUGAAUUUCUGGGAUAGGCUUGAUUCUUUCAUUGCGUUUUCCCGGCUUUUUUGCUUCUAAAUAGGACUAAAUCAAAGAUUGAUAUUUAACGAAAAUUGUCUAAAAAUGACGGAUUUUUCAUGAUUUCUUGCUACUUUAUAGGCCCAAAACCUAGCAAAAUCUGGGAUUUCCCUCCGUCUUCAAUCUAGUAUUGAACUCCGUAAAAACAAGGUGAUUCAAUCAGAAUUAUUCUUUCAUUAUCGUUAAUGAGUGAAUUAUUCUUUCAUUCUCGUUAAUGAGCUUCUUUCUUUGCGCCUAACGUCUGCUUUAAAGGGAUCAUGACUUUCGCAUAUUGAAUUGCGCCUCCUCCUUCAGCAUAAUCUAUAAGAAGAUUUGCACCUAUCAUGACUCUUUCGCAAUAUUCUUUGCUCCUAACUACGGGGUCCAGACUCCCUGAUGGAUAGUCCUUCGGACCUGUCUUCUCGCCUUACUAUUUUUCUCAUUCUUCCCGUCCUCUCCUCCACUCUCAGUCGAGCCCAUGGAGAUGCGUAGAAGGAUGAAUUCAAUAUGAGAGAAGAAGAUUUUCGGUUCAUUUUCUGUCUGAACUUUUUUGAUUGCUUUCUUCUUUUUCUCGAGACUAAUUGUACGGAUUCUCAUCUAGAUUUCGUUAGUCUUUAGUUUCCCUAGUUUCUAGUCGGACUAAAAUGAAAAUAGUCCGAGAUCAUUCUUUGAGCCUCUUUCAUUGAUCUAUUUUGAUGCUUCCUUGCCAGCAUCUUUCUUUCUCCCAUGCUUUCCGUUGGUCAACAACCAACCACUGCUCUCUAUAGUUCUUCACUACUCGUACAGGAAGGAUUUCUGUCUGGAGGGAAUUUUCUUGAGAAAAAGAAAGAAUGCCUCAACUGGAUAAAUUGACUUAUUUCACACAAUUCUUCUGGUCAUGCCUUUUCUUCUUGACUUUCUAUAUUCCCAUAUGCAAUGAUGGAGAUGGAGUACUUGGGAUCAGUAGAAUUCUCAAACUACGGAACCAACUGCUUUCACACCGGGGGAAGAACAUACGGAGCAAGGACCCCAACAGUUUGGAAGAUCUUUUGAGAAAAGGUUUUAGCACCGGUGUAUCCUAUAUGUACUCUAGUUUCAAAGAAGUAUCCCAAUGGUGUAAGGCCGUCGACUUAUUGGGAAAAAGGAGGAAAAUCACUUUUCUCUCUUGUUUCGGAGAAAUAAGUGGCUCACGAGGUCUCGAAAGAAAUAUAUUCUAUUUGAUCUCGAAGUCCUCAUAUAGCACUUCUUCCAAUCCUGGAUGGGGGAUCGCUUGUAGGAAUGAAAUAAUGCUAAUCCAUGUUCUACACGGCCAAGGAAGCAUCGUUUUUUAAUCAAGGUCGUUCGGACAAAAUAGAAGUUGCGCUUUCUUGAUUCUUAGUAGAAAGCAUUACAAGAGAGAUCAAUAAGAGAAAAAGCGAAGGAGCAGAGCCAAGUUCGAACUAAUAGGAGCGGAGCCAAGUUCGGAACUAAUGGACGUAGUAGGCUCCCCAUAAAUCAGAGGUUAGGAGCCCCUGUUCAUUGACUUUAGAUAUUAUGUCUGAAAAUAUCCUCUUAUUCACUUUGAAUUUCAGCCUAUCCUUUUUAUUCAAUUCAAACCGCGGAGCUCCUAUUCUUUUCAAAGUAAUAGCCGCACUUUGCACCUCCCGCUCUUCAUUUGCAAAGAUGUCCUUAUCAAUGAGACGACUGAGGCUCAAAGAAGAUUUCGAAAAACAAGGCUCCAACUAACCGUCCGGAGGACUAUCCGUAUGAACCUAGCCUUCGGACCAGUCCGGAGGAUUUAUCCGUAGGACUCUAAAACGGAGGACUAUCCAUUAGAACCAUUAGAAUAGAUCAAAAGAUCGUCUUGACCCAGCCUCCGGCUUCUUAUUCCGCUAUCAAAGUAUUCCACUACUCAAAGUAUUCCACUAAGGAAAUGCGCUUCUCACGCAUAUUUCAUUGCGCCUCUUGAGCUCUCUUCUCUCUGUCUUCCUCUAUUUUCUUCUUAUUCUGAUUCUUCCGAUAAUAGAAAACCUUGAACUCUCUUUAAAGAGGCAGAAAGGUAACUGAAAGACUCAUAAGUGCAGCUGUCAAUAUUCUUUGAACCUUGUUCAUUCAGGCUAGGCUUUCCUCUGAAUUCAAACCUUAUAUUCCCUUUCUCGUUGUUCAUAACUAUUCUAUGUGAAUGAUCCCUUGUUCAUUGAGGCGGUCUUCUAUGUUUACAGGUUUGAAUAGAAAGAGUCAUCCCUUCCCACGUGUAAAGUUUCAUAAAUUAAUGCUGCCUCAACCAUAGGCUUUUCUCAAUUCUAUGUGGCCGCCGGGCGGCGCAGAACGCACUAAUCCGCGACCAACAAGUUUUCCGAAACCAAACUGAAGAGAAUUGUUACUUUCCAAAAAUGCUUGCUGAAAAUCAUAGGCUUUCUCCUUUCAGUUUCUCGUAUUCAGUCUCAGGAUAGGCUUUCUUCAGUAUUUAUUAGGUUCUUGGGAGAAUCCUCGUCCAAGACCCCACGGAGCGGGAGAAUCCUUCGUCUGAAAAAGAAGAGAGCCUACUAAAAUAAAACAGAAGACGUAGAAGUCUGCAAUUGAGAUUCAUUCAAGAAGACGGAGCGGAAUAAAGAGAAGGUAAAGUCAGAAAAAGUGAAAGGAAUAGGAAAGCAGUUAAAGGAAGUUCAAGGCUCCCCGGUUUUCAAAUAUGAUGAACUCAAUUCAUUCAGCCUUAACUCGCAUAUUUCAUUGCGCCUCAUCUAGAGCUUUUGUUUUUGUAGUCGCAAUAAGACAGGUCCGAAGGACAGACGGGUUAAUAUGGAUAGUCAUCUGGUCCCUUUUAUUUUGUUCUUUGCUCCUAACGUUCCCUCAAAUUCUUUGAGCCGUCCGGAGGACCAUCAAAGAAAGGUCCAGGUGAUUUAUCCGUAGGACUAUCCAUUAGAAGUAGGACCAUCCGUAAUUAACCGAAGUAGGACUAUCCAUUUUCAGUCGGACUAUCCAUAUGGAAGGAGGACUUUCCGUAAUUAACCGAACAAAGCUCCUAACUACUAAUGGAAAGGACUGAGGACGUCCGAAGGACUCUAAAGCGGACGGGGGGGAUUUCCGCUUAAAAAGUCUUAUUCCAAUAAUAUCCGCGGGGGUAGAUUCAAUCUUCUUUUCACCUCCGUCUCAUUCCCUAAUGGAUAGUCCUUCGGACCUGUCUUAUGGCGCAGUUCUUCCCUCGCAAUAUUGGGCCUCAGUAGCUUAAUAUUCAGGGGUGGAAAUCUUGUUGAAGACGGAGGUUCAUAUGGAUAGUCCUUCGGACCAGUCUUAUGGCGCAUCUGGACCCCUUAUAAUUGGGCCAUAGAUCUUUGCACCUUGUUUUUCUUCUUUGCGCCUAACGGAGGGGAGGGGAUAGACUUUUGACUUUUUCUUCCUGAUCAUCGACCGCCUUUUUUUUGAUUCUUUUCACCUUGUUCAUUGAUUGCGCUUGCACGAGUAUUCUCAAUAUUCUUUGAACCUCUCCUCUGUCUAUUAGAAUAGCGAAUAGUCCCCAGAUCCAAGGCGAAGGACUAGUCUGAAAUCAACCAUAUUAACCUGUGGAAUCUUUGAUACAUCCACAUUGUUCAAAGAAAGCCUAUCCUCCGUCCUUUUUCAAUAUUCUUCGAUCAUUCUUUUUCAAUAUUCUUUCUCAACAAUAUCCCCCACGGUGCGGUAGUCCGUCCGAAGGACUAUUCAAUCCAUUAGUUUUCGCUUGCACUCCUUUCUUCUUUUCCGCAAUAUUCUUUGCUCCGAUCAUUCAUAGAUUAUGCUGAAGGAGGUCCUCCGGACUAUCCAUAUUAGUGACCGCGGAAGAAAAACAAAGGUCUAUAUGAACUAGUUAGGCGAAGGACAGACAGGUUAAUAAAUAUGGAUAGUCCUUCGGACCUGUGGAAUGUAAAAGAAAGCCUAUCCGUCUCAUUGAUAUUGAUAAGGAACCCUCCUCUUGAGUCUGAAAUCUACCCCUAUUUAUUUAUGGAUUUCAUUGAAGGCGAAGGCGCAAUGAAAUAUGCGUUGACGAGCGCAAAGAACUAAAAAGAAAGGUCCAGAUGACUAUCCAUUAGGGAAAUUAAGGAGCAAAGAUCAUGGCCCACUCCUCCUUCAGCAUAAUCUACGAAGCGCAUUUAUCUAAGAAAAGAAGAAAGGCUCUUUGAAUAUUGAGAAUAUUGCUGGAAGAUUUGCACUGGGGGAUAUUGAUUUGAGAGAAAGAUUAGACAUUGAGCCUCCUUCUACGUCUUUUAGAUAAAAAAGAGAUUUUUCUUCCAUAAGGAUGAAAACGAGUCCUCCCCUUGUUCAUUGAGGUCCGCUCCCUCCUUUUGAGCUUUCUUCUUUAUUAUCCCGCUCCGUCUUCAGCUCCGUGGGCUUCCUUUCAUAUUCAACCGCUACGUGGGAGAUAGAAGAAAAUCAAUGAAGAAGUCAAUGCCCACUACGCGGGGAAGGAGACAAGACUACGUAGCUACUUUCAGUGGAUAGGUCGUCCGGAGGACUUGUUUUUAUCCAUCUGAGGAACUCAAACUUAUGGCCUCCGUAGUCCGCUCCCUCCUUUAUUUUCAAGGUUUCAUAUGAAAGGUUUGAAGUUAGAAGUGAAAGGAAGAAAAAGUCAAUGGAAGUCCUCCGUCUCUCUUCUUUAUGGUCCGGAGCCUUCGAUCAUUCUUUGAGCCUCCAGACCUACUAGAGAAAGCCCCACUCCGCGGAAGAAUCCAGAAAGCUAAGCUUGAUAAAGUCCUCCGCCUAAUUCAAUGGAUCUAAUGGACGCAAUAUUCUUUGCACCUGGACCCAGCCUCCAGCUUCUUAUUCGACGUUAGGAGUAUUAAGACCGAAGGACAGACGGGUCCUCCGGACCUGUCUGUCCUUCUAUAUAUUCUUUGCACCGCUCCGUGGGUCCUUUCCAUUAGUAGUUAGGAGUCUUAAGACCUCAGUCCUAUCCAUAUUAACCCGCGCUAAGUUCCAUUAAGAGAAAAUUCUUUGCUCUCUGCGACUCAAAGUAAUAGUAUUCAACAAUAUCCCUGUCUUAUGGCGCCUCGCAUAAAUACGGCUUCGAUCAUUCUUUGAGCCUCCGUCGCAAGUCAAAUUCUCUAAUGGAUAGGCCUUCUCCUUCGCCUAUAAAUUCCCAUAUUAAGCUACGAAAUAAAGAAAGCACUACGCGGGAAGAACUGAUCAAUGAAAUUUGAUUGAUUGAAUUUCAUCAUAUCAUAUUUGAAAAAGAAAGAAUAUUGAGGUGCAAAGAAUAUAUAGAAGGCGCAAAGAUCUAAAAAGAAAGGUCCAGAUGACUAUCCAUAUUAACCCAGAGAAAGUUCAGUCAGUUUCAGUGGAAUAAAGGGAAAGCCUAUCCAACAACAUUUCAGUGGAAUAGGAGAAAGGAAGUCCUCCGCUCCGUUGGAGUUGAAUUGGUCCUACGGGAAGAAAAUCAAUGAAGAAGUCAAUGCCCACUACGCGGGGUUAAAGUGAAAGAGGAAAGCCACUAAAAACCUCAAAAUAAUACGGAAAGCCUAGCCUUCUACGGCCUCCAAACAAAAAAAGCUUUACUAGACUCAAAUUCUUUGAGCCUCCGGAGCCUCAAAAAUAUAGCUUAAAGGAAGAGGUGCAAAGAAUAUUGCGUGAUUGAUGCCUCCGUCUCUCUGAUUUAUGGUUAUGGUUCUCCUGAACCUACUCCCUACGGCAAGGCAGAAGACUGCCAGAAAGAAGAAAGCCUAGGAGAAGACAACUCCCAGAAAGUUUGAAAGUGGAAUCAAAUAACUAAGAACGAAGAUUUGUUGGGAAGGAAAGCCGUCAUAAGUACUUUCGUCUUAUUUUUAGUCCUCUUUCAUUGAUCUAUUUUGAUGCCAAGAAGAAACUUCAGGAUUACUAUCAAUGAACAAGGGAAGCACUACGCGGAAGUUUCAGUUCCUCAGUCGGAAUAUGGACCUCGCAUAUUGAAUUGCGCCUUCUCUCCUUUCAGUCGAGCCCUCAGUCCUAUCCAUUAGACUGCACCUCGCAAUAUUCUUUGCGCCUGCGCCUGGACCUUUCUUUGACUAGAAACUGAAAGUAGGCUUUCUUCUAAUAGUAGAAUAAGAGGAUAUUUUCAGAGAAGAGAUAAUCAAGAUAAAUAGCUAAGGAUAUUCUUUCUUCCCGUGUAGUGGGCUUACGGAGUGGGUCGCAAAGUGAAUUUCUAGGCGAAGGCUGAAUGAAUUGAGUUGCGGCUAUUACUUUAUUUGGAGCGAAGGUGCAAAGAAUAUUGCGUGGAUGGAUAGGUGCAAAGAAUAUUGCGAGGCUCAAAGAAUCCCACGGAGCGGGAUAGUCCUCCGGACUGUUAAGGCUCAAUGCAAUAUGAGUGAUUCCUAUUCCCGCCUUCUACGCCAUAAAUCAGUCGGAAUAUAGAGGGCUCUAUCCAAGGAAAGCCUAGGGCUCGGUCAAAGCAACGAGAUCUUUUUCUAGUUAGACUUCUAUCAAUGCAAUGAAAGAACCAUCCCUUCCUAUUUUUGAGUCCUGUCAGAUAGAAAGAAAAUGAGACCCCAAAGAGCCCUUCUUUACCACUUUAGCGGGUGGGGGUGAAGGGGGGGUUUACAUACAACCGAGGCAAAGUGGUUUAUGAUUGAAUCUCAGAGGCAUUCUUAUCAUUUGGUAGAUCCAAGUCCAUGGCCUAUUUCGGGUUCACUCGGAGCUUUGGCAACCACCGUAGGAGGUGUGAUGUACAUGCACUCAUUUCAAGGGGGUGCAAGACUUCUCAGUUUGGGCCUCAUAUUUCUCCUAUAUACCAUGUUCGUAUGGUGGCGCGAUGUU
rnacentral:lncRNA from 1 species